CUCACCUUCAGAAUGAAGUCAAUGUAAUGAAGAGCUCAAAUUCAGUUCUGCCACCUGAAAAAAUGUGGUAUUCACCAGUAACUUUAACCCCAUUUUGCUAACCCUUAACUUCUGCAAGCUUUGUGUGGGGAAAAUUAUAAUACCAAAUCUAUCCCACACAGCAUGAGAACAAAUCUUAGCCCAAGUGAAUUAAAAGUACUCAAGUAUAUAUUUUAUAAUGCAUAAUAUAAGAUCAUACCCUAUCCCUGCUUUGGGGCCACUUAAUUGAGUGUUUGUAUCCUUCCGGUAAAGGAGCAAUACAGGUACAAGCUUCUUCAGGGCAAUACCUCUCUCGAUGUUCAUAAUGCUUUUGUGCUGGAAAGCAUUCUAAUUGCUUGCAAAUUGUCCAGGCAAGGGAUGCAAUCUGGCCUAGCAGUGGCAUUACACACUUUCCAGCGAUGACCAUACGGGUCCUUAGAUAUAGAAGUUUGUUGUGAUAUUUUCUGAUUCUAUGACUCAAUAGGUUGAGUUAAGCAAGCCCCAUUCUGAGCAUUAGUUUCCUUCAGAAUUUCUGACUAGUCACCAAAAGGAAAAAUCUCAGUUGAAGCCUGAUCCUUUCAACGACUCUCAGUGUCAUUAUCUUGAUCUUGAGAAUCCUUCUCCUUUUCAAUCUGACUAGCCUCAUCCAUUUAUUUUCAUCCAAGCUCUUCUCUGAUUCAAUUUGCUCAAUUUUAUUCAAUUCGCCGCCUUCUGUUUCUCCAGCUUCUGAAUUCGAAUCUCCACCUUCACUUUUAGAUUCCUUAUCUUCCCUUUUUCUAACAUCGUAAUUUUUAGACACCACCUUAGAUUCCUCUUCAGACUCAGUAUUCUCAUCAAAACUCUCCUUCACUAAAUUCUCUUCCUGGUUUUGAUUAACCAUAUUCUUAGAUUCACUCGUCUCACCAUCACCCUCAUACAUAUUCAUCUCUUCGUAAUUAUCUUCCACUCUAUUCUCUAACUUUUCAACAGGAACAUCAUCCCCAUCCCCAUUUGUUGAAUCCUGUCAUUCAUCACCUUGAUUUUCUACGGAAGGCCCAGAAAAAUCUCAGAUACUCUCUGUUUCACUUUGCUUAUAGGCUCUUAAGAGGACAACAUCCUGGAUCCCACACCAGUACAACUGAUGAUGACAUUAACAUCCAAACGCCAACCAGAAAACGACCAACAAACACUACUACAGUAACCAUUGAACAAAGACAAUAUCACAGGUUCUUUAGCUAUUUAAUAUUCCAUCAAAUAUAAUUAUAUAAUACCUACCAAGGAUUUCCGAAUAGAAGGCAUUCUCAUCAUUCUCAUCUCAAGCAGCAACCUCACCAGUAACACAUUUUCAUAUCAUGUUUCCACCACAGGUCGCACAUAUAGAAAGAAUGAAGUAUUAAUUAGCUUCAACAGAGCCUAUUUCUUUAUUUCUUUUUUUCCCAAAUAAACCUUCAUUCUUAUACGUAUAAUUAAAAUAUCAACUGAAUAAACAAAGUCUGUGAUUACUAGUACAACAUUUUCAUUUUCAAGCGGAGCUAGAUAAGAUAUCGAUGUCUGUCAAAUAAACCUAAUUUAAUCUUGAAACCAUAAACUGCACUAAGCAUAGCAGCAAAGCCAGAGCCUGACUAUAAAGAAGAUAAUAUAUAUAUAUAUAUAGAGAUUAAACUUUUGUUUUAUCUUCCACAAGCAAGAAAUUCGACUGGAACAUGAAAUUUUUAACAAUCUUACAAACAUUAUACACAAAUCUCAAUUAACGGCAAAUAGGGGGAUGAAUCACUGACAUCACCCAAUUCAUAUAUUCAAUUAAUGUAUUCCCACCCCAGUCAGCAACGUGCUACCACAGUUGAUUAGUUAUUAGGGAUAAGGCUUACCGCAAAGAACUGAAUGGCGUUAUCUAAAUAAUGAGUUGAAACGGCAUCUGCAAUCGCAUUAAAUGGCAUUGAACCGAAAGGUAGGGUUUAAAUGAAUGUUGGCCUGAGACAAAAGGGCGUGGCAUAUUGGGGUCUUAUGGCUUCGUUUUGUUUCAAUUGACGGAGGGAAGCUGAGCGAAAGCUUUGAUAUGUAAAUUUCAGCUUAAUUUAAGCUAGGGUCUUCUUUCGAUUGAAACAGAAAAAGAUUUUGGGUUAUUAAAGUGAAAGAGAUGGAAUAAUACAAAAAAUUAGCAAAGUGAAAGCGAGGGAAUACAAGAUUUAUUAUGGGUCCUAAGAGCUGAAGGCAAUUCGCCAUGGUUCUGAUAUACGGAAAACUUUCUUAGCUUUAUCGGUGGUGGAAGUGAGGGUUAGGGCUAGGGUUCUACACAAUGUCGUUGAGAAUGGCUCAAAGUUCAUUGAUUUUAGGUUGCGGCGAGAGAGGGGUUUAUUCAACACUUGUCGAUAUUUGGCUGAAGUGUUGGUAUGUUUUAAGUUUCAUAAAAACGACGUCGUUAAUUUAAACGUCAUCAUUUUAAGAUAUUAUAAAUCCACAAAACUUGAGCAUCACUUAUAUCUAUAAUUUAUUUAUGUUAGUUAAGUUAUAAGUUAUGAAUAUGUCAUAAACUCUAAACAUAUGAAUAUAUGCCACACCAAUAAAGUGUUGGCUCCAUUAGCAAUGGAGUCCCCUUAAGUGGCUUGAUUGGGUUUGCUCCUCAGUUCUAGUUGCAGGGAAGUCGCCUUUGUUGAGAGAACUUGUGCCUCCCGGUUCGAGCGGGGACUUCUAAUAUGGGUUGUGGUACGGGCUUAAAAGUGUCUCCCACAAUUGGGGCCCUCCUCAAAAUACCUCGUGGUUAAGACAAAAUAUAUAUAUAUAUAUAUGUCACAAAUCUAUCACACUUUCAUGAUACAUUUGUGACGUAUCGAAGGUUCAUGUCAUUCCUCCGGUGCAACAUUCGAAAUAAGGCCAUUGCCCUUGUGAAAUUUGCAUUACUUCUAUUGAAAAUCUACAUAAUAAGAGCUCUCCCGUUGCAUUUUUCGUUGUUUUGCUUUUGCUUUACUUUAAUGUGUCGCUACAUGAACAAGUAUAUUGCAACAUAUGUACCAUCAAUUUUGCUAUGUCUUAUUCCCAAUUUUAUAUAAUACAAAUCAUUUUGAAAUUAUAAUAACAACAACGGGGUCAAGCACAUUUUGUGUCUUGAAGAUUUGCGAGGGCUCCAUCCUACAAAGUUAAAUUAUUAUUGUUGUUGUUGUUAUUAUUAUUAUUAUUAUUAUUGAUGACGAUGAUGUGCUGUUGAUGUUUUUAUUAUUUGAGAGAUGGUAGAAUAAAGUUAUUCAUUUUGGAGCUUAACAGUGGAAAAUAAGGAAAACAAGAAAAAAGUUGUAUUCGUGUUAAUUUCCUUUGUCAUUUCUUGUUUCUAGAAAUAUUUUUGCUUCGUUUAUUCUAUUUUAUUUGCUUAUUUCAUUGGGCUUGCUUCACAUAUCAUAUCUAUCUUUCUUUCAAAAUUUGAAGGGAAGGAAAGUACUUAGAAAAUGCUCUUGCCUAUGAACAUGUAAGAAAAACUGAAUAUCAUUCAUCGGAUAACAAAAAACACUAAUCAGCGCAUAAUCCCUAGAACAAAUAAUUAAACCAUCAAAUGUUAGCUAUGAACAACUAUAUAUCCUAUCAUAUUUAACUUCUAUUUAUGGUCAUAUCCCUAACAUAUUUAGAGUGGUUUUGGAAUUUUGAUUACAUCUGAGCUUUCUCAAAAGCAGAUGCUGUGAAAUGAAGUUACUAUUUGCUUUUCAAAACUGUUAAUAAUGAUAGUAGUUUAGAAACUUGAACCACCACCUACGUGAGUCUGUGAAUUUCACCUUUUUGUUUGAUAAUUGGAGGUUUUCGUUUAAUGCCUAAAUUCGUAAACUGUGGAAACGUUUGAAAGCAUCUAUAGCAUAUUCAUUAAAAUCACGUUUUCACAAACCAAAAAGGGUACUAAUUUGGUCUCGAUGUGUGAAAAGUAACACCUACCUAGCCAUCCAUCAGGUAAGUGAAUAAGUAUAAAAAUAUUAAUAUUUUCUCUGUAGUUCCUAUUAAAAUUGUCUAUUAUAGUUGCAGAAUGUCUAGGAAGUAUAAAAGGAUGUCGUUCAAACAUGAUUAAGAUAGAAAGGGAAAAAAUAAGUAAUUAUCCAUGGACCACUUCAUCUUUUAGCCUUUAUAAAAAACAUACAAACAUUUUUUAUUGUUUUCAACAAUCCAUCUAAUAUUUACAAACUGCAUCACAGCUCCACUACUAUCAUAACCCUUUAAAAAUGUUGCUUAAUCACGAGAACCUAUUACUUGUAAAUUAUUUUUCAAGCAAAUGCAACAAUAGAUCUAGUUUUGAUCUGGGUGACUUUUAAGUGUACAGAAACGAGGAGAACGACCUUAUGUCAAGUUGAAGGAUUAAGAUAAAUCAAUUACAAAUCCAAACAAAACUUAUGAGUGACAUUUUAGUAUUAAGCAAACCUACCAUAAUUAAUCAUCCAGUGAUAGGUUUGUUUUCAAUUAGAGUAAUGAUAGAUAUCUCAAAAUAUUUUAUCCCAAAUGGUGUGUCAUUACUUGAAUAGUAGGUAAUUCUUUCAAGAUUUGAGUGAAUUAAUUGUAUUAUCUCUUCAAUCUAUUGAUAAAUACCAUAUCAUUUGAGAUAAUUUUUUAAGAUAAAAGAUUUAGGAUGUGUGGCACUACUCAUUAAUUAUGCAACUUAAAUGCAAUUUUUUUAAAACCAUUUAUUUUCAUUAAAUUUUGAGCCAUUAAUGAAAUAAAUAUAAGUAAAGCUAUUUGAACCUACUCAUUUUCUCACUACAUCAUUUAUUUAAUCAAAUUAAAAUUUAAUUUUAAAAUAUAAUUCAUUAAAUUAUUUGUUUGACUUUGUUCUCUCUCUCUCUCUCUCCCUUCCUCUCUCAUUCUCUCCAACCAUUUUUUUUUUGUUUACAUAGACUAAAUAUUUCAAUUAACAAAUAAAAUUGUUAUAAAGAAUAACAAAUUUAACCAUAGACACCAAUAUUAAUUAAUAAACAAAAAAAUUGAAGAGUGAUAGAAUUAAAGUCUGUUAUACCACAAUUUGCUUUACUUUUAUAUUUUUAUUUUAGUGCGGAUAUGAUGUAGACAUUAUUUUAGGAUUUUAUAAUUUUUAUUAUUUUAUCGUUUUCUAUUUUAAUUAUAGUCAACUAUGGUAUAUGUCUUAGUUUUUUUAUUUCUAUUAAAAUUGUGAUUUAGUUUUUCUUUUUAAGUUAACUUAGUGAAGUAGGUUUAUUAUAUUAUAAAUCAAAAUCUUAUUAUUGUAACUUCAACUAUUGAUCAACUAAUAAAGCCCUUUUUAAUAAUUCCCUCUAAAAUUAUUUAUUAAAAUCUCUCUUGCAAAGUUAUUUAGAUUAAAACGUCGUCUAAUCUCGCUUUAUGCGUUAUUAAAAUCUCAUUGAGCCAUUGUUAGAAUGAGAUCUACUCACGUUUCGAUUAGGACGUAAACUAUCCACAUUACCUUAGCCAGUAUUAGAACAAUAGCUAAUAUUUCCGACCUAUCAAUUCCACUUCCGCUAUUCCAAUUUGUUAGUUUGUAUUAGAGUGGUUCAAUGCCAAUUGCACAGUUUUCCUGGCUACCCAUAUCCAUCCCCACCAAAUCCAUCAUUGUUUAUGCAACAAAAAAAUAUUACAAAAUUACAAAACCUUAGCAGCCGCCCACCGCCAUUUCCACUCUCCACUAAUAGUUCAUCAUUGGCUAAUCCAUCUACCAAACUCAUUAGCCACUACUGACCAAACCUUAGCCACUCCUGCCAUCAAUCGCCGCUUGUACCUACUAUAAAUCAUCUAGACCUAAAAAUUGGGAGCAUCCACCAGCUGCCACCGUGAAACCAACCAUCUUCACUGUCAACCAACACCACCACUAAACUUGCUAGAUUCCACUGGUCAUAACUUGACAAAACCCACCAAUGAUCACCGCCAUAAAUCGCCACAACGCUAACCCAAAACCCGGGCUUCACCUAGCACCACCGCAAACGCCACUUUCUCAUUGUCGAUAUCCAAAUCGCAAUUGAAAUCUCUAACAUGAAUGAAGCACCACAUAUGCCAAUUCAAGUCAACUUUUUGACCAAACCACCGUGAAUCCAGCCAAUCCUCGGCCAUUGUCGAGUUUCUCACGACCAUAUCUAGCAAAUCUAACCACUAAGGUCACCAGCCCCAGCGAAAGAAACUCUAAAGGAUAACUUUAAUCUUAGGUGUUCAAGUAAAAUGGUAAUUUUAAUCUUAUGACAUCAACAAGAUUCUAACGAGCUAAGAUGACAGUGAAUAAUUAAUAAACUCUAGGUGGAUUUCUACAAAGAAAAACGUUUCUGUGUAUUUUUAAAAAAGACCCAAAGACUACAUGGUUAGUGGAUAAUUUCCUUUUUUGUUCUUAUUUUCUACUAUUAUUAACAAUAAAAGUUUUUCAAUAGUAAUUGUUCCAACCAUUAUAACAAUUAUUAUUGUUAUUGCUGUUGUUGUUGUUGUUGUACAACAAUUGUGAAAUUCUAUCUACACAACCCAGGAGGGCGGUGAAUUGGCUAUUAAAAUUAUACUUACAAAAAUACAAAACAAAUUAAACAAAUGCUUUAAGAAAUUUAUAAUAGCAAAAUUAAACAAUGAAUGCAAUUAAAAAAAUAAAGGAGAAGAUAACAAACAAACGAAUUUUUAUGUGUUUCGACAAAACUCGCCUAUGUUUAUGCCGCCGAGCAAACUAAGUUUGAGGAUUCCACUAUCCAAACCUUCUCAGGCUCCAAGAUUUUACAAUUGACUUUUAAUGUGUCAAUAAACUUUUAUAGUAGUAAUGUGUACACAUACCUCUUUCCCCAAGUGUUUCCCACACUUAUACUCAUAAAAUUUUGAUAUUUAAUUGAAGAUUACAAAGAUUAAUCUCUAUAAGAGUGUAUAAGCAAAUGAUAACUCAAUAAUGAUUUAAUGCAUGUAGAUAAGUAAAAUGAAAGCUCAAGAUUAGUUGUAUGAACAAGUUUUAACUUAAUUGGGAUUGAAAAAGUUGUUAGAUUUGAGUUUGAUUUGGGUUCUUCUAGUUUAAACAAUCAAACUAGUCAUAAUUGACUUUUUGAGGACCCACUGGAUUGCUGCUAAAAUAAAGAAGUUAGUUGCUAUAUUGAUGUGGCAAGUUACCGUUACAAAUAAAAUUUAAAAACUUUUUUGCCUAAGCAAAUCGUCGCCUGAUUUAAAUGGUUAGCAGCUAUGUUUUUGGACCUGAAGCAGUUAGCCACUAUUCGUUAAGUGGUUAGUCGCUACUGUUUCAAAAUUUAUAGAUUUAAACUAAAAGUUCCUAAAAUUAUACUAUGGCCUAAAAUUUUGAAAUAUUUACAAAUAGGUCCACUUCAAGAAUUUAAUACAUUACUAAUUAAUUUCAAAGUUCUCAAAACUUUUCAGUCCAUAAAUUUGAAAACAAUUAAUUUUAUAAAAUCAUUUUUACUUACGUUUAAAACUUUUAUAUUAUAGAAAAUGAUGAUUUAAUUUGAAAAUUGUAUGAAAAAAUAUCUUGAACUCUUAAAUACUAAAUCAUGCAUAAAUUAAAUCAUAUUAGCUUUACAAGAAAUAUAACUAUGAAGAUUGCUUAAGCUAGUACCUUUAGUAUUCAUCCUUGAUUGUUGUUGUCUAUUGAGUGACUUGAAAUUGAUCUCACUUGAAUGAUUUUUGUCCUUCAAGAACUUGUCAGAUUGUGAGAAAUAAAUUUAUCAUUUUACCUUAUGUGGUUUGUUAUCAUCAAAAUUAAGGAUCAUAUAGCCGUUUACCCCAACAAUCUCUCCUUUUUUUAUGAUGACAAACACCCUAUGUAUUUUGACAUUUCUAUUGCCCCUGAGUAUAUGACAUAAUUCAAAAAAUAUAACCAAAUAUAUAAACUCACUCCCUCUAAGUACAUGAUCCAUAUAAUUGUACAACAUUUGUAAACUCUCCUUGAGUGACUCAGAAAGUAACUAAAAUACUACAAACACUCAAUCAACCCCCAUGAGCCAAAAACAUGUCAAAACACUUCAAAAUACAUGUCAAUAUCUUCUCCCCCUUCAUCAUGAAAAAUCACUCCUCUAUUAUACAAAUAUUAUCAAUAAUUAUCCCCUACAAAGAUCAUCAAUCGAAAAUCCACACAUGACCAUUAAUCAAGUAUCCAUAUACAUAAUCCAUAAUCAAUAAAGAUAAUCCAUAAAGAUAAUUAAUAAAGAUACCACAAUCAAUAACUAGAAUGCAUAAAGAUAAUCCAUAUCAACUCAAGUAUCUAUAAUGCAUAAGUAAAAUAAAAUCCAUCAAGUAUCCAUAAUGCUAAAAACGAAAAUGCAUAUGAUAAAUAAUGUCGGUGCAUAAAACAAGGAAGCAAAAGAGAUAAAAGAAAAUCACUGAUGAGGCAGCAAACAUGAUAAUAAGGAUGGUGGCGAAAAUUUGAGAGCAAUGAAAAUAAGCUGGUGAUGGUCUAGAAUUUGUUGUUGUUGAAGAAAGAGACGCUGCUGCUCAGAAAGAAAAUGAUCCUGGAAUGCUGCGAACGAUAUCUUAAGUUCGUUUUACUGUUCGGAUAUGGAACGCACUUUAUUCAACAACUGCUGGAUUGGGUUAUUGGGAAUGGCUGAAGAUGAUGAUGGUGGAGCAUCAGAAGGCCAAUGUAGAGCUUGUGACCUCAGGGAAGAACUAAGAUCAAGAACCCAGUAAGGGGAAGCACAUCGUUAAAGAUGCAAUGAUAAAAAAGAGCCAGCUUUGUGGGUUUUCUCAACAAGUUCUAAUUUUUAACCUAUUGGUCAUCUACCCACCCAAAUCCUAAGCUAGCAAUGACCUCAUCCCUUAACUCCUUGGGUUCAUCAUGAGAUGGUUCAGCUAUAGGGACCCAAAAAUAUUGAAGGAUAUGGGUAAUGACACUACCAACCGAAAAGGAUAGGUUUCCUAUACUCAGUGUAUUAAGCAUGUGCUGAAUGAUAAUAUUCUCACAUUUAGCUUUUACCCUCAAGGAUGCUAUCUAAUAAAGUAACAUCUAAGCGUGUAACCUCAGCACCAUGUCCCUUGUGAGGACUGAUCACAAGCUGAAGGACAUUAUGUAGGAUCCGAACUUGAAGAGGCAACACUUGUGAUCUAAGAGAGGAGUUAAAAAGCUCCAUGGAUAGAUCAGAUCACCUACAUAUGUUUCGAACAUCUAUGUUUCAAAUAUCAUCUACAACUAAAUACCAGGGAUAAUCAAUUUUAAUCCUAGAUGUAUACAAAUGCAACCUAUCAUCUAGGAUUCAUGUUUAAAUCUUCUACAGUAAACUUAAUAGGAAUCCCAAUAACAUUAGUAAUAAUCAUGUUGGCAAUAUUUGUAGAAAUAAGCAUGUUCGAAUAAAAUACUCGUACCAAAUUAGGACAAAUAUGUUCCUUAAGAACUAAGACAUUUGUCCAACCCAAUUCAGCAAGUAAAGUUCUAAGAUUUUUGCUACAACUUGAAAAAUUUUCUAAUUAAUCAAGAUUAACAUAUAUAGUAUGGGAGGACUGACCUUGUCAUAAAUCGAUCAGAGAAUCAUUCCAUUGAGGCAGAUUUGGGAAGUGGGUGGAAAUGAAUUUCAAAAUGUCUUUAUGAAUCUUUUUUUUUUUACAUUUUAGGCAUAUGCUUACCCUUGGACUUCUCACCACUAGCCAUUAAGAAAUUAUCAAAAUGUGUCCAAAAUUGCACAAAUUCGAGUUCACAAAGUUUUUAAAGAAAUAGAUGAUUUUGAACCGAUUAAAAUGUUCUUUGAGAAGAUCUAAGGAAUGUAUGGGUUUAUUUUGGUCGAAAAUGGUCAAAUAAUGGUUCAAAUUUGAGAAUGUUGAAACUGGUGACUUAGGCUUUAAGAUUUUGAGAGAAGAAUGAUUAGAUUGUGUUUUAAAAGCAAAUGUGUGAAGAUUAAUUGAUGGGAAAUGAUUUGGAAAGUUUAAUUUGACACAAAAGUGAUGUAAAAAUGGAAGAUUUUAGAGAGAGAGUAAAAGAAAUGAGAGAUGACAGUGAUAGAGAGAGGGUAACAACUGAAAGUAGGAAAAAGAAGAUGAACAACAUUUGAAAAUGUGAAGCCAGCUAGCCUCUUGAAGAAAGCGGUUAACCGUUUCAUUUUUAGAAACCAAGCAAUUAACCGUUUACUUUGAGCCGGCUGGCCAGCUAGUUUCUGCCUCACAAUUGGCUAGUCGCUUGUGGUUAACGGUUAGCUAGUUCCUCUAAAUUUUGCAUGAUUUUGCUUUUUGGCCAAAAUUUAAUUAAUUUUGAGACCAUUUUGUGAUCCCGAAGUAUUUCAAAAGCCAUUUUUAAUGCAUAAGAUAUGAUGAUAAAUAUUCAAAGAAGUAAAUUCAAGCAUAUAAAACAUUAAAAUCAAGUUUUUAUCAUACAAUCAAUCAAGAUAGAAAAUCAAGCAAAUUUGUAGUCUCAAUAUCAUGCAACGAAAUAUUGAUGUGAAAAUGUCAUCAUUCCAAACUCAAUCCAAAUCUUUGAAAACUAUUCUUCACAAAAAGGCUUUGUAAAAAUAUCAACAAGUUAUUUUUCUAUAGAAACAAAUUCUAAAGCAAUAUCUCUCAUUUGAACAUGAUCACGUGAGAAAUAAUGCCUAGUUUCAAUAUGUUUGGUCCUAGAAUGUUGAAUGAGAUUCUUUGACAAAUUUAUUGAGCUAAUAAUUUAUAUGAGUUCCCUUAGACCAAGAUCAAUUGUUCCUCAUAAAUAAUGAAAAAUUAUUUUAACCGCAAGCAAAUGAGAUUCUUUGAGAUAUGGUUGAAAUCAUGCACACAAACAUACACUAAAGUAAUGUCUACUAGCAGUAAAGUAAAGUAAAGAUAUGAUCAUACCUCGAUAUCUUUUGAUACAACAUCUUUACUUUUUUUAUCCUUAUCGAGCUUGAUUGUAGUACUCAUUGGAGUGUCCUUAGUCCUGAAUGCAAAAUCUUUUGAGUAGAUCUCUGAAAUACUUGGCUUGAUUAAUGAAUUCUUUUUUUCUUUUAAAUUUUAAGUCCAAGAAAGUACUUCUAUUCUCCCAUCAUGCUCAUCUCAAAUUCUCUACUCAUGCAAGAUGAAAAUUCCUUACACAGAAACUCAUUAGUAGAACUAAAGAUAAUAUCAUCAAUAUAAAUUUGAACAAGUAUACCUUGAUCCUUGUAUUUAACAAAUAGAGUAGUAUUCGCUUUACCCAUUGAAAAACUAUUUUCUAAAAGAAAUUUACUAAGUCUAUCAUAUCAUGCUCUAGAUGCUUACUUUAAACUAUAUAAAACUUUGGACAACUUGUAAACAUGAUCCAAAAACAUUUUUCGUUUUUAAAAUGAGGGGGUUGUUUCACUUAAGCUUCUUCAUAAUACAACUAUUUAGAAAGGUGCUUUUAGCAUCCAUUUAAUAUAAAAUAAAAUCAUUAUGAUAUGCAAAUAAUAAAAGCAUGUAAUGGAUUCUAAUCUAGAUACAUGUGCAAAGGUUUCAUCAAAAUCAAUUUCUUCUUUUUGGUUGCAUCAUUGAGCUACUAAUCUAACUUUAUUCCUUACAACCACACUAGAUUCAUCGAUUUUAUUCAUAAAUACCCAUUUACUGCUUAUUACAGAUUGAUGUUAUGGUUUAUGAAUAAGUUUCCAUACAUUGUUUCAUUCAAAUUGAUUUAACUUUUCUUGUAUUGCUAUAAUCCAAGAUUCAUCAUUUUCCACAUCUGAAAAAGAUUUUGGUUCAACUUGAGAUAUGAAUACAGUAUGUUCACAUGUAUUUCUAAGUGAUUAUCUAGUAGUUAUACCUCAUGAAGGAUCUCCUAAGAUUAAGUCUUAGGGUGUGAAGAGACAUACCUUAGCUCCUUGGAGCGUGUUUGUGAAUUACCUUCAUUUUGAAUCUGUUUAACUUGUUCUUCUUGUUGCUUAUCUUGAUUUUUACCUCGUAAAUCAUCUUGUUUGUCUUUUAAAGACUUUUUGUUUUGUAACUCUUCAUAUGCAUCAUCAUCAACAACAACUUCCUUCAUAGAAGAAAAGUUAGAUUCAUCAAACAUAACAUGUAUAGAUUCUUUAGUGACCAAGGAUCUUUUAUUAUACACUCUAUAAGUUUUGCUUGUAUUUGAAUACCCAAGAAAAAUAUCAACAUCAGAUUUUAGAUUAAAUUUACCAAGAUUGUCUUUUGUAUUCAAUAGAAAACAUUUGCAACCAAAAACUUUAAAAUAGUCAAUGUUUUUUCUAUUUUUCCAAAGCUCAUAAGGAGUUUUAUUUAGGUAAGGUCUAAUCAAUGCACGAUUUAAAAUAUAACAAACAAUGUUGACGGCUCCAACCCAAAAAUAUUCUAGUAAAGCAUUUUCAUUUAACAUGGUCCUAGCCAUUUCUUGGAUAGACCUAUUCUUUCUCUCAACUACUCAAUUUUAUUGUGGAGUUCUUGGUGACAAGAAUUGAUGCUCAAUGCCAAAGUUAUUGUAAAAAUUUUCAAAAUAUAAUUUUCAAAUUCUCCACCAUGAUCACUUCUAAUGCAAGAAAUAACAUAUCAUUUUUUAUUUUGAACCUUUUUAUAGAAAUUUUGAAAGCAUUAAAGGUGUCAUCUUUAUUAGUUGAGAGUAAUACCAUGUGUAUAUAGAAUAAUCAUCUAUAAUUAUAAAUGCAUAAUAUUUACCACUUAAACUAGCAUAUUUAGAAAAUUCAAACAAAUCCAUGUGAAAAAGUUAAAGUGGUUUUGAAGUAGAAAUAUGAAUUUUAUUUUUAAAGGACGUUUUAUUUGUUUUCUAAAUUGGCAAACUUCACAAAUUCUAUCUUUUUUAGAACCAAUUUUUAGAAGACCUAUAACCAAAUCAUUUUAAAAAAAUUUUGAAAUCAAAUCCAUGCUCGCAUGACCUAGUCUUCCAUGCCAUAUCAACUAUCAUCAUGUAAUGUGAAAAAAAUAUUUAUCAUGAGUUGAUACACUAUCUAUAUCAAUGGUGUAUACAUUAACACAUCUUUAUCUAACAAAUAAAACUUUGCCAUCACAUGCAUUUUUAAUAACACAUUUUGUUUUAUAAAAAAUAACUCUAUAGCCUUUAUUACAUAAAAAUAACUUUGUAACCUUUAUCACACAAUUGACUAAUACUAAGCAAAUUCUAAAGCAAUAUAUUUCAUUUUUCUUUUUCAAAUCAUUUACAAGUAAACCUUUAUUCUUAGAUGAAACAUUUUGUUUUUUCUUUAAAAGAUGCAAUUUCUUCACAAAUACUUCUAGGCACUUAAUCUUUUUAUUCAAAGUGUCAUUCUCAUUUAAAAGUUCUACUUUUUUCUUUCCAAGAGAAACAUUUUACAUUUCAAUCUUCUUUAAAUCUUUAUGCAAUUUAGAGAAUACUUCAAACAACUCAUCCUAAGAGGUUUACCUCAUCAAGUUCAUCUUCUAUAAUCAUCUCCUAUAACCAUAAGUGCCAAAUUUGACACUUCAUGGGACUACUCUUCAUCUAUAGUCUCCUUAUCGCUAUCAUCCCGUGUUGCUACCAUGGCUUUCUUCUUUAAUUUUUUGAGAAAAGGACAUGCUAGUUUUAUGUGUCUAGGCUUCCUGCAUUUAAAGCAAGUAAUUGCCUCCUUCUUCUCUUUCUGAUUUUUGAAUUUCCUUCGCUCGAUGGAUUUCUUGAAAAUUAUUUUGAAUUUUCCAGCUAUCAUAGCCAUGUCUUCAUUUUCGAUCUCACUUUCGUUGUCACUUCUAGAUCUUGAUGCUUUUAAGGAAAUACUCUUCUUCUUCUCGUCUUCAUUAUAUUUUUUAGUUGUCAAAUCCUUUUCAUAAGAAAUAAAUGAACUAAUUAAAUCAUCAAUAGAUAAAGUAUCCUUGGCUUCCUUAAUGGCAAUUUUCUUAGGUCUCAAUUCUUUUGGUAAAGACCUACUGAUUUUUUUUACCUUCUCGCUGUUUGAAAAGGUUUUUCUAAGAGUUCCUAAAGUGUUUAUAAUGUCUGUUAAUCUAGUGUAUAUAGGAUUAACACUCUCAUUUUGUUCCAUUUAUAGCAAUUCGUAUUGCCUAGUAUAUUUACUAAUUUUAGACUAUUUGACUUGAUUUGUAGCUUUAUAAACGACUUUAUGUUUUUUCCAAAUUUCAUAAGCAUUGGAACAACCUUAAACUCUAUAGAAUUCUUUUUUAUCUAAGGCACAAAACAAAGCAUUCAUGACUUUGAAAUUAAGAGAAUCUUUUCUCUUUUCCGACUCAUUCCAUUCUUGUGAAGGUUUUAGAAUUUCUUUCCCUUCUUCAUUUUUAGCAGUAGGCAUGAAUGGACCAUCACAAUCAACUUCCUAUAUUUCAUAAUAUAAUGCUUGCAAAUAAAUUCUUAUCAUAAUUUUCCAACAUAGAUAAUCAUUCCCAUCAAAGAAUGGUGAUCUAGUAAGGGAUUAACCUUCCCCAAAUCUGGGAUCAUUUUGGAUUACUAUGGAUCUUUUACUCUAGAUGGUUAAGUCCUAACAAGAGAACUUCCUCUGAUACCAAAUGAAAUUCUAGCUAAGCAACCCAAGAGGGGGUGAAUUAGGUAUUAAAAAUUAUACUAACAAAAACACAAUACAAAUUAAACAAAUGCUUCAAGAAAUUUAAUAAUGGUAAAUUUAACUAUGCGUGAAAUUAAAAAGAUAAGGGAGAAGAUAACAAACACAUGAAUUUUUAUGUGGUUCGGCAAACCCGCCUAUGACUACGCCUCCAAGCAAUCCAAACUUGAGAAUUCUACUAUCCAAACCUUCCAAGGCUCCAAAAUUUUACAAUUGACUUCUAAGGUGUCAAUAAACCUUUACAAGUAAUUAUGUAUACACACACCUCUUUUCCCAAGUGUUUCCCACACUUAUACUCACUCAAUUUUGAUAUUUAAUUGAAGAUUACAAAGAUUACACUCUAUAAGAGUGUAUAAGCAAAUGAUAGCUCUAUAAUGAUUAAUGUAUGUAGAUAAGCAAAAUGAAAGCUCAAGAUAUAUGAAUAAGUUUUAGCUUAAUUGAGAUUGAAAAAAAUUGUUAGAUUUGAAUUUUAUAGUUUAAACAAUCAAACUAGCAAUUAUUGGCUUUUCUAGGGACUUGCUGGAUCGCCGUUAAAAUGAGGCGAUUAGCCACUAUGUUGAUAUGGUAAGUUACAGUUGCAAAUCAAAUUUGAAAACUUUGGUUCAAGCAGAUUACCACUUGAUUUAAGCGGUUAGCUGCUAUGUUUUUGGACUUGAAGUAGUUAGCCGCUAUUGGUUAAGCGAUUAGCCACUAUUGUUCUAGGAUUUAUAGAUUAGACCUAAUUUUUUUGAAAUUAUAUUACGACCCAAAACGUUUGAAAUAUUUAUAAAUAUGUCAAUUUCGAUGAUUUAAAACAUUAUUAGUUGAUUUCAAAGUUCUCAAAACUUUUCAAUUUAGUCCAUAAAUUUGGAAAAAGCAACUAAUUUUAUAAAAUCGUUAAAACUUUUAUAUUAUAGAAAAUGAUGAUUUAAUUUAAAAAUGUCAUGAAAAAUAUCUUGAGCUUUUAAAUGUUACAUCAUGCACACGUUCAAUUAUACUAUCUUUACAAGAAAUUUAACAAUAAAGAUUGCUUAAACUAGUACCCUUAGUAUUCAUCCUUGAUUGUCAUUGUCUAUUGAGUAUCUUGAUCUUGAUCUCACUUGAAUGAUUUUUGCCCUUCAAAAACUUGUGAGAUUGUGAGAAAUAAAUUUACCAUUGUACUCUAUGUAGUUUGUUAUCAUCAAAAUCAAGGAUUAUAUAACCAUUUAGGCCAACAAAAUAUUAUAAUAAAUAAUAAUUAUUAUGAUAAAAAAUUAAAGAUAUUUUGUAAUUUGUAACAACUCAUCGUGAUUUUAAAAUAAAAUAAAUAUAUCAAUGAUGAUAUAAUUUAUUUUAAUUUUAAUUUUUACAAUUUAAAUAAAUUAAUUAAUUAUCAUUCCAUAUUUUAAUUCCAACUCAUUCCAUUCCAAUUCAUUCAUAUUUUAAUCAGUAUAUCAACUACCCCCGAGCAAUGCCCGAAAGACAUUGAGGCAAGGGCCACAGAAAAAUAUGCACUUGUUAGCUUAGCGUUGGUGUCAAGUUUCUUUAGCAUUUUAAAUUCAUAAAAGAACUUAUAGUGUUUCUUCAUCCUUUGGCCUUUUCGGUGUUUACUUUCUGGAGUGAGUGUCAGCAGUGUGAAUUCCUCCCACUCCAGUGUUUACUUCACCAUUUUAAGGAGGGAUUGGGAAUCCCACUCCAUGGACCCCACUCAUUUUUGGAGUGGGGAGUGUGAGUGGGACUCCCAUGGGAAACCCACUCCCACCUCUCCAUUUUCUACUUUUAUUUAAUUAAAUUUAAUAUUUUAUAUUUAAUAAAAUAAAAUAAAAUAAAUAAUAUUAUUAUAUUAAUAGAGAAUUAAUAAUAUUACUAUAUGCUAUCUUUAUUUGAAGAUAUCAUAUUAUUAUAUUUAUUUAAAAAUAAUAGUAUUAUAUUUAUUUAAUAUUAAUAAUUAAUAAUAAUAAAUAGUUUAUUCUAAGAAAAUAUUAAUUUUGUACUAAAUAAUAUUAUAUUAUUAUUUAUAUAAUAAUAAAUUUAAUAUAAUAAAAUAAAAAAAUAUUUCAUUUUAUAUUUACCUUCCUUUUUUAACCCCCUUUUAUUAAAUUUACUAUAAUUAUAUUUAAUAAAAUAAAAUAAAUAAUAUUUUAUUUAUUUAAAUAAUAUUAUUAUAUUUAACUAAAUAAUAAUUUGGUUUGAUUCUAAGUUUAAAUUACUUAAAAAUAAUAAUAUUAUAUUAAUAGAGAAUUAAUAAUAUUACUAUAUACUAUCUUUAUUUGAAAAUAUAAUAUUAUUAUAUUUAUUUAAAAAUAAUAGUAUUAUAUUUAUUUAAUAUCAAUAAUUAGUAAUAAUAAAUAGUUAAUUAUAAGAAAAUAUUAAUUUUGUACUAUGUUCAUAGUAAAAAUGUUUCAUUUACAUUGCUCUUAUCAAUAAUUUUUAAUUUAUAUAAUUAAAAUUAAAAUUAAUAAAAAAUUAUGAUGUACAUAAUUAAGAAUAUUAAUAAUUAUUAUAAAUUUACAAAUAUAAUAAAAUAAAUGUUUAUUCAUUAAACAUAUUUUUUUAUUAACUUUGUAAUUAAAAACUAUAAUUCUUUAAAUAAAGGUAAAAUUAUAAUUUGAAACUAUUUACUUCCAAUCCAAGAUAAAGUAAACACAUAAAUUGGAUUAUAAUUUUCAUUCCGUGCUUAUAUUCCAGUGUAAGUAAACAACUUACACCCACUUUUACUCCAUACUCUCAAUCCUAAGAUUUCCACUCUUCAAGAUUCUCAGUCCAAUCCAAAAUGUAAACACUAUCUAUGGUAAUUGUUCACGCAACUAUUUUAAUCGAAAAUAUUUUAAUCGAAAAUAUUUUAAUCGAAACUAAUAGACCUUUCAACAAUUUUAAUCGAAAAUAAUAGACCUUUUAACAAUUUUUGCGGAUUCUGGCAAUUGUUCAGGCAACUAUUUUAAUAGAAAAUAUAUAUGGCUCCAUAAACAAUGAUUAUCUCUUGACAGCUGUUCUGGACUCGCUAUUUGUACUGAAAUAGAAGAUUAUCUCUUGAUGAUUAUUUAAUUGAAAAGAAUUUGUCGUUUAUAUUUGUUCACCUGGCCUUUGGAUGAGGAUCACAUGUUUUAUGACAAUCGUAAUGUUACUAAUGUAAGUCAAGCAAUUAUUUUUAAAUAAUGAUAUUAUAAUUAAAAAUCUAAAAACAUUUAUAAUACUUAAAGACUAAUUCAGAUUAUUAAUUUUUUUAUAUGACUUCAUUAUUAGCUGACAAAUAAUUAAAAGGCCAUAGAUCAAUAUUUUUAGGUCCAAUUUUUAAUUUAAUAUGACACAACUUGUACUUUCAUUCCUAUACUAAAGUAUAUCGAACCUACUAAUAAUUAAGAAAUAUAUAUAUUCAACACAUAUUUGUUAGAAAGAUUAUCUACUAAUUAAUCAUUGAUUACGAGAUUAAUAUAUUGAAAUUCAGAACUUUUUUUUUUCCUUCUGCAGUUUAAAAAGGAGUCGCCCUCUUGAUCCCCGUAUUCGUCAGCUUCUACUCUUUGCCUUCAAUUCUCAGUCAAGAAAACCUCUCCUGAUUUUCGUCUUUUGAUCUCAUACACACUUUGCUUCUGUUUAUCGUGGUCACUGCUCGUGCUAGCCGUUUUCUUAUUUAUCUUUGUUCCCUUUUUCCAUCAGCUCUUUGCAUUUUCAUUGGAUCAAGCAACCCUUUUCUUGAUUCAAUUUUCUGAUCUCAAAAACACUUUGAUUCGCUUCUGUUACACUGAUUUUCCCCUUGUUUUGUACAAAUAUCAUUUCUUUUUUCAACUUUGCCUUGUUUUGCUUCUACUUGAUUAUCAAUUGCACAGCCGUUGACCCUGUUCUAUUUCUAUUUCGUUCACUUCCCCAAAAAAAAAAAAAAAAAUGGACAUUUUGAAAAGCAUUGUUCCAGGAGUUGUAAACUGCUUGUCUCCUCACGCACAACGCGAAUUUUGUUAUUGGUAUAACUCCGCUGCCAACUUUGAGAAUCUCAAGGAAGAACUCGAUAGGCUCAAGGAUGAAAGAGAAAGCGUUCAGCGCAGAGUUUCUGAGGCUGAAAGAAAAAGUGAAAAGAUUGAAGAGAAGGUUGAGAAAUGGCUGGUUAAUGCGAACAAGAGCAUUGAGGAGGCAGCCAAAUUCAUUCUAGACGAAGAGAAAGCAAAUGAACGAUGUCUCAUGGGGCUGUUUCCUAAUUGGAUUACUCGCUAUCAGCAUGGAAAGAAAGCAGAAACAGAGAAGGAGGCCCUUUUUAAACUCCGAGAAGAAGCUGGGAGAUUUGAUGAUAGAAUUUCCUACCGUACCAUUCCGGAGGAGAUUUGGCUCAAGUCUCACAAAGGCUACGAGGCCUUCGAAUCAAGACGUUCUACUUUGGAGGCUAUAAAAAAGGCAUUGAUCGAUGUUGAUGUCAGCAUCAUUGGGGUGUACGACAUGGGCGGCAUUGGAAAGACGACACUGGUGAAGAAGGUCGCCAGGCAAGCUAUGGAAGACAAGCACUUUGAUAUGGUGGUCUUUUCAGAGGUUUCGCAAACUCCAGACAUAAAACAGAUUCAACAGGAAAUUGCCGAGAAGUUGGGCUUGGAGUUGCGCGAGGAAGCUGAAUCUAGAAGAGCUAGUAGACUAUAUGAAAGAUUGGAGAAUGAGAAGAAGAUCCUUGUGAUUCUGGAUAACAUCUGGAAACCUCUUGAUUUGGGGACUAUUGCAAUUCCUUUUGGAGAAGAUCAUAAAGGCUGCAAACUACUGCUGACAGCAAGAGAUCGUAGUCUCCUCUUAAAAAUGGGAUCUAAAGACAACUUUUUGAUAAACAAUUUAAAUGAAGAAGAAGCCUGGAGAUUGUUUAAGAUGAUGGCCGGAGAUGAUGUUGAAAAUCGUGAGUUGAAAUCUACAGCAAUAGACGUCGCCAGGGCAUGUGGAGGUUUGCCCAUUGCCUUGACUACAGUGGCAAAGGCACUGAGAAGCAAGAGUCUUCAUGAAUGGAAGAAUUCCUUGCGAGAACUCCGAACGCCUUCAAUGGUAAACUUCGAAGGAGUAUCUGCAGAGACUUAUUCAAGUAUUGAGCUGAGUUUCAACCAUUUAAAAGGUGAGCAACUCAAGAAAAUUUUUCUGCUCUGUAGUCUAAUGGAUAACCGUAUUCUUACUUCGGACUUGUUUAAGUACUCCAUGGGUUUGGGUAUAUUUAAAGGAGUCAAUAAGAUGGAAGAUGCACGAGACAAAUUAUAUGCAUUGGUCCAUGAACUUAGACACUCUUGUUUGUUGCUUGAGGGUGAGAGCAAUGAACAAUUUUCAAUGCAUGAUGUUGUUCGUGAUGUCGCAAUAUCAAUUGCAUGCCGCCACCAACAUGUGUUUUUGGUGAGAAAUAAGGAUGUGUGGGACUGGCCAGAUGAGGAUGCACUUCGAAAAUGCAAUGCGAUCUCUUUAAGAAAUAAUAGUAAUCGUGAAUUUCCUGAAGGAUUAGAAUGCCCAAACCUUGAAUUUUUAUUUAUCUCUCUCAAAGAUUCUUCUCUUGAAAUCAAUAUUCCUGAGAACUUUUUUGUAGGGAUGAAAAAGCUUAGAGUUCUAGAUUUUACUCGAAUGCAGUUUUCUUCUUUUCCAUCUUCAAUUGAUCUUCUACCAAAUCUUCAGACACUAUGUCUGGAUCAAAGUGCGUUGGGGAACAUAGCAAUCAUUGGAAAGUUGAAGAAUCUAGAAGUCCUUAGCUUUUUGAAGUCUGAUAUUAUGCAGUUGCCCGGAGAACUAGGUCAAUUGAAUAAGUUGAGAUUGUUAGAUUUAACCAAUUGUUUCCAUCUAAAAGUUAUUGCGCCUAAUCUCAUAUCAAGCUUAACUCGAUUAGAAGAGCUGUAUAUGGGUAAUUGCUUCAUUGAAUGGGAGGUUGAAAGAGCCAACAGCAAAAGAAGUAAUGCUAGCCUUGACGAAUUGAUGCAUUUACCUCGGCUAACCACUCUAGAAAUUGACGUUAAAAGUGACAAUAUUUUACCAGAAGGUUUUUUGGCCAGAAAGCUCGAAAGGUUCAAAAUAUCUAUUGGAAAUGAGUCAUUCAUGCCUCCCAAGAGUGUUAGAGGAUCAACAGUUAUCGCAAGAGUUUAAGAGGAUUGAAGCUCAAGCUUGAUUUUAUGGACAUUUGCUCCAUGAAAUUGCAGGGCAUCAAUAACGUUGAAUACUUAUGGUUGGACAAGCUGCAAGGCACCGAGAAUGUUCUUUUCAAUUUGGACACGGAGGGCUUUUCACAAUUGAAGCUUCUCUGGGUUCAAAAUAAUCCUGACUUCUUUUGCAUCGUCGAUUCAAGGGAGAUGGUCGCUUGUGAUGCCUUUCCUCUUUUGGAGUCACUUACCAUUCGCAAUUUGAUCAACAUGGAGAGGAUAUGUAUUGAUCGGCUCAAAGUAGAGUCUUUCAACAAACUCAAAACCAUAGAAGCAUAUAAUUGUGAUAAAUUGAGUAAUAUCUUUUGGCUCUCUACAACAAAAUGUCUUCCAAGACUUGAGAGAAUUGCAGCUAUUAAUUGCAGCAAGAUGAAAGAGAUUUUUGCAAUUGGGGAAGAAGUUGAUAAUGCAAUUGAGAAGAUAGAGUUUGCUCAAUUAAGAUCUUUGAGUCUGGGGAAUCUUCCAGAGGUUACAAGUUUUUGCCUCCAUGAGGUGAAGACUCCUUCAGCAUCACCGAACAGACAAGUGUCGCAAGAGGAAUCGACGACUAUGUAUUGCUCCAGCGAAAUCACUUUGGAUACUUCAACUCUGCUUUUCAACGAGAAGGUGCGUAGGCUAACAUUUUCUUCAUAUGUAACAGAUUUUAUUCAUAUAUAACGUUCUCUUUUGACGUCAUACGUGGAAAAUAAUUAAAUCAUUUAAAGAAUUGAAAGAAAAUGGAAAAAAGGAUAAAAAGAAUCUCACUCGCUCACUAAUUGAGCUCUUAACAAGUAGUAUGAAUUAGAAUGCAUACUCAGCUGUCAGUUGGAAAUUGAUUCAGACUUGCAUUAAUUUGCAAUCAAAGAAGAAAUUUUCAACAAGUGCUUCCCAUAUGGAAAUUGGAUCUAACGAGGAAUUCUUAUUUUUUUAGGUUGCGUUGCCUAACUUGGAGGCUUUGGAGAUAUCUGAAAUUAAUGUCGACAAGAUUUGGCACUACAAUCACCUUCCGAUCACGUUUCCUCGCUUUCAAAAUUUAACACGAUUGAUUGUGUGGCAUUGUCACAAAUUAAAAUACAUAUUUUUAGCGUCUAUGAUCAGAAGCCUUAAGCAGCUCCAACACCUAGAAGUACGCUUCUGUGAGGAUUUACAGGAGAUCAUUUCUGAGAACAGAGCAGAUGAAGUGAUCCCUAAUUUUGCCUUUUCACAGCUCACCACUCUGAGACUCGAAGAUCUACCAAAACUUAGAUAUUUGUACCCUGGAAUGCAUACUUCGGAAUGGCCCGCACUAGAAAUUCUUUUAGUGUAUCGUUGUGACAAAUUAAAUAUAUUGGCUGCAGAUUUAUCGCAGAAUAAUGAGAAUGAUCAACUUGGUAUUCCUGCACAACAGCCCCUAUUGCAGUUGGAAAAGGUAUGAAGCCAUUUUCUAGAUUUUUUAUCAAUAGUGUAUUUUGAACUUUGAAAAAUAUGACAAAGCAUCAAUAAAUUAAUACUCAAUAAAUUGAAAACUUUUAUUAUACAAUAAUCUUUGCUAGUCUAGACUAAAAGAGUUUGUUUGUUAAAUGUCUGAAGUUUGAAAUUUUAUUAAUUUCAGACCUUUUCCAACAUAUGCUUAUUUGUUUUUUUGGAACUUAUUGUUUGUUUUUUGGAACUUAUGUUUGAUUUUCAGACAUUUACAUAUGAAUAGAAAAAGUAAACUUUUGUGACUUUUAUUUGAAUGGAAAAAUGUCUGAAUGACAAGUAAAUAUUAAAUUCCAAAAAUAUCCUUGUAAAAUAAUUUAUUUCCUAAACUAUAAAAUGUUAUCCUCUUUUUUGUUUUAAUUUACAAGGACAUAAAUGUCAAAUAACCAAAUUAAGAUGUUUUUUAUUAUAAAAACAAACAAGAUGCCACUUAUAUUCAGAUAUUUAAAAAAGAAAAGGGAAAAGGACAAACACACCCCCAACGUUUAGGUAAAGGGACAAAAACCUCCCUAAUGUUUCAAAAAAGACAUUUACACCCCAAUUUAUUAUAAUUUUACCAUUAUACCCUUCUAGCAUAUAAAAAAAUUAUUAGAUUAUCCAAUUUGUCUAUAUAUUGUUAAUAAAAUUAUAAAUAUACCCUCAUUGCCUCAUUCCUCUAUUUAAAUUUUUAUCAAUAACCAAUUUUAAAGAAAGACAUCUACACACUUAAAAAAAAUUGUAAAUAAAUUAUAAUUUAUAAAAAAUUGGUUAUGAAUACCAUAAUAAAUAACAUAGAAAAUUGGUUAUAAAUGUACAAGUUUAAAUGAUUGACAUGUGGAGAAUUGUUAAAUAUACAAGUUUAAAGUUUAAAUAAAAUUGGUUAUUAAUAACCAAUUUUAUUUUUUAAAUUAUAAUUUAUUUACAAUUUUUUUAGGUGUAUAGAUAUCUUUUUAAAAAAUUGGUUAUUGAUAAAAAUUUAAAUAGAGGAAUUGGGCAAUGAGGGUAUAUUUAUAAUUUUUUUUUAAUAUCCAAAUUGUCUAUUUAUAAUUUUAUUAACAAUAUAUAGACAAAUUGGAUAAUCUAAUAAUUUUUUUUAUAUGCUAGAAGGGUAUAAUGGUAAAAUUAAAAUAAAUUGGGGUGUAAAUAUCUUUUUUAAAAUAUUAGGUGGGUUUUUGUCCAUUUACCUAAACGUUGGGGGUGUGUUUGUUAUUUUCCCAAAAGAAAAACAAACAUGUCAUUCAUAUUUUCGUAAUCAGACCCAUUCAGACUUUAAAAAAAUUUAGACUCAUUUAGAUUUCAGACAAAAAAAACAAAAGCUACCUAAGGGAUCAAUGUGGUAGAUUAAUAAUUAUAUGAACUUUUUUAGGUAUAAAAUUUAUAACUAUAUGAACUUUUUAAGUCUUUCCAUAUAGAAGAACUUACAAAAUAAAUUAGUAAUUUACUAUUGUGCAAUAAAAUAAUUUCGUUUUUUUCCCUAAUUUCUUUAUUACCUCUAAAACUAACAUAUAAAAAAUUCAUAUAAUGAAUUUUAUCACUAAUUCAAUUUUUUUAGGGGUAAAACUAAUAUAAAAUAAAUACUAUAAAGUCACUGCUUGUGAUUGGAUUACUCAAAAUCAUUUGAGAGAACAUCAAUUGACCUCAUUAGUUAUUAUGAUUGAUGAUGAUCAGAUCGUACCCAACUUGAAGGAACUAUCACUAAGUGGAAAAGAUGUGAAGAUGAUUUUGCAGGCCGAUUUCCCACAACACCUUUUUGGCAGUCUCAAACAACUAGAGAUUGUUGGAGAUGACUCAGCUUGUUUUCCAAUCUGGAAUGUACUGGAGAGAUUUCACAAUCUCGAAAUACUCUCACUGUUUCAAUUUUCAUUCCACGAAGAGGUAUUUUCGGAGGAAGGAAGCUUAGAGAAACAUGUGGGGAAGUUGGCAAUGAUAAAAACAUUAGAGCUGCGCUGCCACUAUCAUCUGAAGCAGCUGUGCAAACAAGACUCCAAACUUGGCCCCAUUUUUCAGUAUCUUGAAAUUCUGAGUGUACUUCAUUGUCAAAGUCUGUUAAUUCUAUUGCCAUCAUCAUCGGUAUCUUUUGGGAACCUAACAAAACUUGUAGCUUUCGGUUGCAAGGGAUUGAUACACAUGGUAACAUCCUCCACAGCAAAAACUCUAGUGCGACUCGUAUCACUUUGUGUAUACGGAUGCAGAGCAAUGACAGAGGUGGUAAUAAAUGACAAAGAUGGAGUUGAAAAGGAAGAGAUUGUUUUCCGCAAAUUGAAGAUGUUGGAUCUGCGUGAUUUAGAUAGCCUCACAAGUUUCUGCUCUGCCAAUUACACCUUUGAAUUCCCAUGCUUGCAAGAUCUAUUUGUGAUUGGUUGUCCCAAAUUGAAGAUUUUCACUAGAGGAGAAUCAAGCACGCCUCCGAGAGUAAACGUCUGGUAUGGAGAGACAUCGAAUCAACGGCGUUGGUCUAGUAAUGAUCUUAACACGACCAUACAACAAUUACAUGCUGAGAAGGUACGGAUAUACAUGUUACUCUCUAUCUCCCAUGGAAAAAUUUUACAAAAUUUGCUUUUUCUUUUUAAAUAAAAUAUCGAUAAGAUAUUUGUUAUAAAGUUAGUUUAAAUUGAUGAAUAAGAAUUUUAUUUUCAGCUGUUGGCGGGGUCGUCGUCAUACUCUGUGGAUUACGACUAAUUUCAUAGGCUUCUUAUGACUUGGAGUUACGAAUUUGAAGAAGAAAGUCCCGGCUGGUAAUUAAUUCUUAUUUUAUUUAUUUGAUCUCGUGGGUUGUUUCACAACUUCAUCUCAAUUGUUUAGAAUGGGUCACUUGGUUUACUGUCAAUAUGGAAUGCACUUUUCAUGAUUCGUUCAGGCUUUUAUGGGCAGAUUUUGCGUCAUUGAGCGUCUUUUGGCCUAAUGUAAUUUAAUUUGAGUAUUUUGUUUUGAGAGUUCCCUUGUUCUCUAAAAUUUUAUAAUUCCUUGCAAGCAUUUUAUGAUGAAAUUUCAUUAAGAGGGGCAACACUUGCAUGUUGAAAGUGUUCAGAUUUUAUAAUUCCUUGAAAUCAUGCAAACUUUUUUCUUUCUUUCCUUGCCAAUUAUUUAUUGUCAUCGUUACUGUUCCGUUAAAUUUGUUUGUGCUCUGUUUGUUCAUUGGAAACUUGGAAGGCAACGAAAGUACUUAAGAAAAUGCUCUUGCCUAUGAACACAUAAUUAAGAAGCUGAAUAUCAUUCAGCGGGUAAUAUAUAUAUAUAUAUAUAUAUAUAUAUAUAUAAUUAGCCCAUUAUGCCUACAACAAAUCCUUACACCAUCAAAGGUUAGCUAUGAACAACUAUAUUAUGGAAAUAUUGUUUGAAAGCAUUGGAUAGAAUUUUCAAAAAUAUCAAGUUUUCACAAACCAAAAAGGGAACUAAUUUGGUCUAGUUUUGUGACAAGUAUAGAAGCACAAUAUUUUGUCUGUUAUUCUUGUUAAAAUUCGCAGCACUGAGUUUGCAGAAUGUCUGGAUACUGAUGGAGAUUCAAGUCACUCUUCUUCUGUGCAACAUUCGAAAUGAAGACUUUUUUCCCCCUCUAUUCAAAUUUUAUGUUGUGAAGGGUUUCCGUUUCCAUCUUCAUGUGAUUUACUUCACCGUGUCGCUACAUCUAUGAUAGUGUGUGUUAUAUCCUGUCUGUUUCCUUUGUUUGACCAUCGAAAGUUCAAAGACAAUUUAUUCUAAAUAUGUGUAAAUUCAUUUUCUGUAUAAGCUCUUUGUAUGCAUUUUGACAUUUUAUUCUCAAUAUGGAUGACUCAAUGAGAGGUCUUUUGUUAUAUAUAUGUCCCGAAUUUCUUGUGUAUUUUUAGAUUUGAUGAUGUAUUAUUGUCUCAUUGCAAGGUCUUAUAAUCACUGAUUCUCAUUUCUCGUAUACAUACGUAUAUAUGGGCAAGAAAUUUGGUAAAUGAUCUAGUCAUUUUCUCAGUAAAACAUCUAGUACUUUAUAUGUUGGAAGGGUACUAAGCAGCAGGCCAAGAUUUGUCAACUCAAAGAUCGUCAUGUCAUUUUUUAAAAAUAUUAAGGAAUACUAAGGAACCCCAAGAGAAAAUUUAGAAAUACUAUAGGGACUACUUCUGCAUUGUUCAUUUUCGCAAUUACCUGCAUUAUUAUUUUUGUUUUCAAUUAAUCAAACUUCAGUUCCUUAGCAUUCAUCUAAUUAUGUACUUCAUCUGGAAAUCCUUAAUUUACUCAUCAAAAUGUGAACGCUAAGGAAACUAUGAAAAUAAAUAUAAAACUACUAGCUAAGUUUAUCAUCACAUAUGAGCAGCACUAGAUUAUCAAAUAAUCAUAAAAGCAUAUAAAUUCAAGCUACUGUAUUAUAUGUAGCUUGCUAAUUUGUGUUUAUAAAGAAUUUAGUUAUGCAACAAAAUGGGACACGAAAGUAGCAAAACUUCAUCAAAUACUCUGUUUUGUAGUACUUCAACAUAUCUACUGGCUAAGAAGUACCAUCACAAAUGAAAAUGUCGGCACAAAUAUUCAAGCAAGUGCAAGUAUCAAAAGUUGGUGGAUUAUUGUGGUUUUCCUACUUUGUCGUUUUUGGUUGAAUAAAUUAAUAAAAGCUGUCGAUUCUGCAUUAAAGCUUAUGAAUUGUGAAGAUAUGAAUACCAAAUCUUUCCAACUCCAACUCUUGAGUAAUUAUUAGGUUCCCACCCAUGCAAACAUAUUUUCUUUCGAGAAAAAGGGAUGCCUGAUUCAGGGCAUCCGUUGCCUCGGUUUAUUUGAUUUUGUUUGGUUCAAUUAUAGUUCUGUUAUUUAGUUUUUCCUCUGAUGAUUCUGUUUCUCUGUAUAUUUCACUGGGUUUGCUUUGCUUCACAUCUUUCUUUCAAAACUAAGAAGGCAAGGAAAGCGAGUCUGUAAUUAGAAAAUGCAAGUAGCAUAUAUCAAAUCAUGCAUAUGCUUAUGCUCUUGCCUAUGAACACAUAAAGAACAGCUGAAUAUCCUUCGUCGGAUAACAAAAAAUAAAAUCUAAUCAUCCAUUAUCCAUACAAGUAAUGAUAUCAUUACUUUUAGCAAAUUAAAGGUGUUGUAUCUUUUUUAUUUAAAAAGUCUCUUAAGAUUUUUAUUUUUCCGGUAAUUACACCUCCAAAUUUCCACAGCUAUAAUGUCAAUUUGUAAUUAUUUGUCCCAAGAUGCAGAUUUUCACUAGAGGAGAAUUAAUAAUUACGCUAUUUCGGCCCAGAGGACCAUGAAGCCCCUUGGGUUGUUGACAUUAACACUAGUGCGUUUACCAACCUAAACCUUCGGUUUGGUCAACAGUUUCUAAAUUGGUUUAGGUCAACAGUUUCUAAAUUGAACCUAUGGUGAAUGGAGGAAAAAGAAAAAGAGAUUUAUCAGAAACCUCCCCUGAAGUUUGGCAUAUUCUUAGUUUAAUAGAUUGUAUUUGUGUAUUCUCAAAUACCUCCCCUGGUGGCUGGUGCUAGUAUACCUUUUCUUAAUACCCCUAAUUUAGAAAAAAAUAAUUUGUAUACUGAAAAUAAAAAAUUGUUGGUUAGCACCAGCAUGUUUGUUUUGGUGCCUAAGGGAUGUGAAUGCAAUGAAAAUAUCCAAUCACCCCCGUUACUUUCCAAAAUGACUUUGAUAAAUGAAACAAACAAAAGAUUUAAGUCAAAUAUCAAAGAAUCAGAAGGAAGCUGUUUUGCACUGGCCUAAUUGCUAUGCUUUCUGAAUCAAAUUUCGUUCAAUCUUGGUGUCCCUCUUUUAUUCAAUAUAAGAAGAAUGAAAAAAGUAGGUUGUUUUUUACACAAGUGAUAGAAAUACUUCUUAACUUUAGACAGUGUAACACCAUACACAUCAAAGAAAUAAGACAACAAACCAUUUCCCAUGCAUAAAGCCAACAAAAUUACUAUUUAGUACAAGGGAUGCAACAUAAUUUUAAAUUUUAUUCCUCAAGAGCUACAAGUGAUACAAAUGAGUACACAAAUCAACCAUCUGUAGCUUAACCAGAAGAUGAUGCAAAUGCAUGAAAAUGAAAAAGCCUACGAAUAGUAUACAUGGUAAGUAUGACUAAGUAAAAUAACAAUUCUGAUUGAUAAUACCACCAGCAACAGGACCUUCAUACCUUCUCUUUAUUAAUCACUAGUUGGUAUGCUAUAGCCCAGCCAAGUGUAAAAUGAAUGGCGAUCGAGCUCUUGAGCCUCGGUAUACCCUCCAUAAGUUGUCUUGCUAAAACCCAAGAAAUAGCUUAUAAGAUGAAAUGGACCGCCCAUGGUUCAUACAAAGAAAAGAAUAAGCCACAUAUUAAUUGAAGCUAACAACAGACAUAAAAUGAUAAAUGAAAAAUGCUCACCUUCAGAAUGAAGUCAAUGUAAUGAAGAGCACCAUUCUCAAAUUCAGUUCUGCCACCUGGAAAAAUGUGGUAUUCACCAGUAACUUUAACCCCAUUUUGCUAACCCUUAACUUCUGCAAGCUUUGUGUGGGGAAAAUUAUAAUACCAAAUCUAUCCCACACAUCAUGAGAACAAAUCUUAGCCCAAGUGAAUUAAAAGUAGUCAAGUAUAUAUUUUAUAAUGCAUAAUAUAAGAUCAUACCCUAUCCCUGCUUUGGGGCCACUUAAUUGAGUGUUUGUAUCCUUCCAGUAAAGGAGCAAUACAGGUACAAGCUUCUUCAGGGCAAUACCUCUCUCGAUGUUCAUAAUGCUUUUGUGCUGGAAAGCAUUCUAAUUGCUUGCAAAUUGUCCAGGCAAGGGAUGCAAUCUGGCCUAGCAGUGGCAUUACACACUUUCCAGCGAUGACCAUACUGGUCCUUAGAUACAGAAGAUUGUUGUGAUAUUUUCUGAUUCUAUGACUCAAUAGGUUGAGUUGAGCAAGCCCCAUUCUGAGCAUUAGUUUCCUUCAGAAUUUCUCAGUAGUCACCAAAAGGAAAAAUCUCAGUUGAAGCCUGAUCCUUUCAACAACUCUCAGUGUCAUUAUCUUGAUCUUGAGAAUCCUUCUCCUUUUCAAUCUGACUAGCCUGAUCCAUUUAUUUUCAUCCAAGCUCUUCUCUGAUUCAAUUUGCUCAAUUUUAUUCAAUUCGCCGCCUUCUGUUUCUCCAGCUUCUUAA
rnacentral:lncRNA from 1 species